AGAUGCGAUCAUACCAGCACUAAAGCACCGGAUCCCAUCAGAACUCCGAAGUUAAGCGUGCUUGGGCGAGAGUAGUACUAGAAUGGGUGACCUCCUGGAAGUCCUCGUGUUGCAUUCC
rnacentral:rRNA from 1 species